GACGAACGCUGGCGGCGUGCUUAACACAUGCAAGUCGAACGGAAAGGCCCUGCUUUUGUGGGGUGCUCGAGUGGCGAACGGGUGAGUAACACGUGAGUAACCUGCCCUUGACUUUGGGAUAACUUCAGGAAACUGGGGCUAAUACCGGAUAGGAGCUCCUGCUGCAUGGUGGGGGUUGGAAAGUUUCGGCGGUUGGGGAUGGACUCGCGGCUUAGCAGCUUGUUGGUGGGGUAGUGGCUUACCAAGGCUUUGACGGGUAGCCGGCCUGAGAGGGUGACCGGCCACAUUGUGACUGAGAUACGGCCCAGACUCCUACGGGAGGCAGCAGUGGGGAAUAUUGCACAAUGGGCGGAAGCCUGAUGCAGCAACUCCGCGUGCGGGAUGACGGCCUUCGGGUUGUAAACCGCUUUCGCCUGUGACGAAGCGUGAGUGACGGUAAUGGGUAAAGAAGCACCGGCUAACUACGUG
rnacentral:rRNA from 1 species